AACGUGCCCAAUCGUGGGGGAUAACGUAGCGAAAGCUACGCUAAUACCGUAUACGAUCUACGGAUGAAAGCAGGGGAUUCGCAAGAACCUUGCGCGAAUGGAGCGGCCGAUGGCAGAUUAGGUAGUUGGUGGGGUAAAGGCUCACCAAGCCUUCGAUCUGUAGCUGGUCUGAGAGGACAACCAGCCACACUGGGACUGAGACACGGCCCAGACUCCUACGGGAGGCAGCAGUGGGGAAUUUUGGACAAUGGGCGCAAGCCUGAUCCAGCCAUUCCGCGUGCAG
rnacentral:rRNA from 1 species